rnacentral:snRNA from 1 species
CAACUCUAGCUGCAGUGCAUUUAACCGAAGAAAUCUUUCGCCUUUUACUAAAGAUUUCCGUGCAGUGGAGCAAUUAUGAGUGGUUGCCAAUUUUUGCGAUCCCCUCGAAAGAGCGGGAU